AACAGUAUCUUCUGGCAGCCACCACGGGACUGGGUUCUGAUGUUCCCAGCUCAAGGCCAGAAAGAAUCACUGGAUCAGAAUGAAGCGUGCAGUUGGAAGAGAUCUUAAAGGCCCUCUAGUCCAAUGCACCAACACGCUGUCCUGUUAAAGUGUGUCAAAUUGUGCCCUGGAGCAUAGCCGCCUCCAGGUGAAGGGUGAGCACUACCAUAUCGGCAGC
rnacentral:lncRNA from 10 species